rnacentral:rRNA from 1 species
CGGGUGAGUAACACGUGGGUAACCUGCCCUGUACACACGGAUAACAUACCGAAAGGUAUGCUAAUACGAGAUAAUAUGCUUUUAUCGCAUGGUAGAAGUAUCAAAGCUUUUGCGGUACAGGAUGGACCCGCGUCUGAUUAGCUAGUUGGUAAGGUAACGGCUUACCAAGGCGACGAUCAGUAGCCGACCUGAGAGGGUGAUCGGCCACAUUGGAACUGAGACACGGUCCAAACUCCUACGGGAGGCAGCAUG